rnacentral:misc_RNA from 1 species
CCGAGUUUACAACUCCCAAACCCCUGUGAACAUACCUAUAUGUUGCCUCGGCGGAUCAGCCCGCGCCCCGUAAAACGGGACGGCCCGCCGCAGGAUCCACAAACUCUGUUUUUAUUGUAACUUCUGAGUAACAAAACAAAUAAAUCAA